rnacentral:sRNA from 1 species
GUAAAGCGGUGCGCCCGCUCCGACCCGCUCGGUUCGGCCGACAGCUCUCCUCCUCGCAGGCUGUCAGUCACUAUGCAGCCCGGUGCAUCUCUUCCCGCGCCAGGCUUUUGUC